AUUGCACGCUGGCGGCAUGCCUAACACAUGCAAGUCGAACGAGUGGCGGACGGGUGAGUAAUGUCUGGGAAACUGCCUGAUGGAGGGUGCUAACUAAUGGAAACGGUAGCUAAUACCGCAUACCAUCAGAUGUGCCCAGAUGGGAUUAGCUAGUUGGUGGGGUAACGGCUCACCAAGGCGACGCUCCCUAGCUGGUCUGAGAGGUUGACCAGCCACACGGGAACUGAGACACGGUCCAGACUCCUACGGGAGGCAGCAUUGGGGAAUAUUGCACAAUGGGCGCAAGCCUGAUGCAGCCAUGCCGCGUGGAUGAAGAAGGCCUUAGGGUUGUAAAGUACUUUCAGCGGUGAGGCGUUACCCGCAGAAGAAGCACCGGCUAACUCCGUGCCAGCAGCCGCGGUAAUAC
rnacentral:rRNA from 1 species